rnacentral:rRNA from 1 species
CCUACGGGAGGCAGCAGUGAGGAAUAUUGGUCAAUGGGAGAGAUCCUGAACCAGCCAAGCCGCGUGAGGGAAGACGGCCCUAUGGGUUGUAAACUUCUUUUGUCGGAGAACAAAACCCGGGACGUGUCCCAGACUGCGUGUAUCCGAAGAAAAAGCAUCGGCUAACUCUGUGCCAGCAGCCGCGGUAAUACGGAGGAUGCGGGCGUUAUCCGGAUUUAUUGGGUUUAAAGGGUGCGUAGGCGGUCCGUUAAGUCAGCGGUAAAAUUCGGGGGUCCAACCCUGUCGCGCCGUUGAAACUGGGAGACUUGAGUUGGCGAGAGGUACGCGGAAUGCGCGGUGUAGCGGUGAAAUGCAUAGAUAUCGCGAAGAACUCCGAUUGCGAAGGCAGCGUACCGGAGCGAGACUGACGCUGAGGCACGAAAGCGUGGGGAUCGAACAGGAUUAGAUACCCUUGUAGUC